rnacentral:lncRNA from 1 species
GUGUGCUGUGUUCUGACUGUGUCCAGGGAGACAUUUUAAUCUCAUGGAUAAAUGGUAAUCUUUCAUCAGAGAUAAUUUCCUCUUUUUGAUCUUUCUCUUUAUUCCUUUGUCUGUCUUGCUUUUUAGGUCCUUUUUCUUUUUUCUCAUCACCAUAGCAAAUAUCUCAAAAAACUGUGGUUGUAAAAUAUGCAGAUAACAACCACGCCUUUAUUUCAUCAUAGUGGUUAGGAGCACACACUCCAGCUAAAUCCUGGUCCUUCUUGGUGGCUGUAUGAUCUUAACAAAGCCAAGCCUUUGUGCUCAUCUGUGGUUGUGACCAGUUGGAGAGACAUUAGGAGAUGAGAUACUGUGUUCACUCCUCACAGCUGUACCAGGGACCUGAGAUAUUCCAUCACUAUUCUAUGACAAAAGGCAAAUAUGCAAAGGACACUCAGGUAUGAAAAUCACCCCUCCUCCGUGAACUGGUGGCCUGUGAAAGAGAAACCCAGAGAGGAAUUGGCAUACUUCCAUUUCUAUAUUUCCUUCGUUUGGCACCAAAGGGAGCUAUGGUGCAUUACUCACGAGUGACAGAACCAACGAGCUUCAUCUCCCAAGAGGCCGGUGCAUCUGUUUAAAGAGAGCAGGCGCUAUGCAGAGCCGCCCCCACCCCACCCUCCAUGGCGGAGUGCAGUGGGGGAAGGUAAGCUUCAUUUCAGUCACUGUGAGGAUG